rnacentral:rRNA from 1 species
UACGAAGGGGGCUAGCGUUGUUCGGAAUUACUGGGCGUAAAGCGCGCGCAGGCGGUCUUCCAAGUCAGUGGUGAAAGCCCGGAGCUCAACUCCGGAACUGCCAUUGAAACUGUUAGACUUGAGGACGAGAGAGGUGAGUGGAAUUCCCAGUGUAGAGGUGAAAUUCGUAGAUAUUGGGAAGAACACCGGUGGCGAAGGCGGCUCACUGGCUCGUAUCUGACGCUCAGGCGCGACAGCGUGGGAGUCGAACAAGG